rnacentral:tRNA from 1 species
GUUUCUGUAGUGUAGUGGUUAUCACAUUCGCUUUACACACGAAAGGUCUUCGGUUUGAAACCGGGAGGAAACA